CAAAAAAACUUCAAAAACAGAUUUCAGUGAGAAACUGCAGAACUGGAAUUCAUUUGCAAACUUGACACUAUGCAAUUAGACCUGAAUAAAGACUGGGAAUGGCUGGGUCACUACAAGACAUAAUCUCCCAUCAACUGUUGAGUACGGGCCAUCCACCCUGAUGGAAUUGGCAUUGUUAGCACUACAAAACAUAAUUUUACUCUGUUGACAUUCACACCUUCUUGUGAACUGUUGGGAAUGGGACACAUCCACCCUGAUUGAAUCAUUGACCCCCGCACUUGGCAUCAAGGGCCGGCGUAAUCCAGGAUACUGGAGCAGAUGGACCACUAGUCUGAUCAGCUGUAAAAUGGGGAUAAUGGAUGAUAUCGGGAAGUAUUGUGUGUUACACGCCUGAACUCAAGUUUGAAAGCAGUCGGAGACCCUUGGAUGGAAGUUACAGGCUGCUGAGCUGAAUUCACCUUGGACCGAUGGUGCACUAGCACUGGGGCUCCCCCUACUACAAGCUGAAAUCACUGAGUGCUGUGUUAAGUGGGGGGGCCUGAAGAUAUAUGGCUGAGCAGCUGGCGGAGCGGUGCAGUUGGAGGGACAGCUGGAGUGGCUCACAGGACGGCUGGUGGAGCAGAGCAGCUGGUGGAGCAAUGCAGUUGGCGGGACGGCUGGAGUGGCUCACAGGACGGCUGGUGGAGCAGAGCAGCUGGUGGAGCAACGCAGUUGGCGGGACGGCUGGUGGAGCAGAGCCGCUGGCUAGAGCGGCUCAUGGGAUGGCUGGUGGAGAGGAGUGGCUGGCGGAGUGGCUCACGGUGAAGGCUGCAGCAGAACCCCAUGGAGAGGCGGAGCAGUCGGCCUUGGACCACGUAAGGUGCCCCUUAAUACCCCUGCGGGGGGCAUUUUCACCCAGGCUGGGAGGUAAAACUCUGC